rnacentral:rRNA from 1 species
GGAUAAGUCCGUAAGGAGAAAGAUUUAUCGCUGGAAGGAUCGGGCCCGCGUCUGAUUAGCUAGUUGGUGGGGUAAUGGCCCACCAAGGCGACGAUCAGUAGCUGGACUGAGAGGAUGAUCAGCCUCACUGGGACUGAGACACGGCCCAGACACCUACGGGAGGCAGCAGUGGGGAAUAUUGGACAAUGGGCGCAAGCCUGAUCCAGCCAUGCCGCGUGGAUGAUGAAGGCCCUAGGGUUGUAAAGACCUUUCGGCGGGGAAGAUAAUGACGGUACCCGCAGAAGA